rnacentral:misc_RNA from 1 species
UUAAGCCUAGCUUAGCGUUGGGAGACUGCACUAAACCGCAGCUCCUCAAAACCAGUGGCGGAGUUUGUUCGUACUCUGAGCGUAGUAAUUCAUUAUCUCGCUUCUGCAAGUACGGCUGACGACAGCCAUAAACCGCACCCUUCGGGGGCACUUUUUUAAUGGUUGACCUCGGAUCAGGUAGGAAUACCCGCUGAACUUAA